CCUACGGGUGGCGCCGUGGGGAAUAUUGCACAAUGGGCGCAAGCCUGAUGCAGCCAUGCCGCGUGUGUGAAGAAGGCCUUCGGGUUGUAAAGCACUUUCAGCGGGGAGGAAGGCGGUGAGGUUAAUAACCUCAUCGAUUGACGUUACCCGCAGAAGAAGCACCGGCUAACUCCGUGCCAGCAGCCGCGGUAAUACGGAGGGUGCAAGCGUUAAUCGGAAUUACUGGGCGUAAAGCGCACGCAGGCGGUCUGUCAAGUCGGAUGUGAAAUCCCCGGGCUCAACCUGGGAACUGCAUUCGAAACUGGCAGGCUAGAGUCUUGUAGAGGGGGGUAGAAUUCCAGGUGUAGCGGUGAAAUGCGUAGAGAUCUGGAGGAAUACCGGCGGCGAAGGCGGCCCCCUGGACAAAGACUGACGCUCAGGUGCGAAAGCGUGGGGAGCAAACAGGAUUAGAUACCCGGGUAGUC
rnacentral:rRNA from 1 species